UACGAAGGGGGCUAGCGUUGUUCGGAAUUACUGGGCGUAAAGCGCACGUAGGCGGAUUGUUAAGUCAGAGGUGAAAUCCCGGAGCUCAACUUCGGAACUGCCUUUGAUACUGGCAAUCUAGAGUCCGGAAGAGGUUAGUGGAAUUCCCCAGUGUAGAGGUGAAAUUCGGUAGAUAUUGGGAAGAACACCGGUGGGCGAAGGCGGCCACCUGGACGGUAACUGGACGCUGAGACGC
rnacentral:rRNA from 1 species